rnacentral:rRNA from 1 species
UACGGAGGGUGCAAGCGUUAAUCGGAAUUACUGGGCGUAAAGCGCACGUAGGCGGUUCGUUAAGUCGGAUGUGAAAUCCCCGGGCUCAACCUGGGACCUGCAUUCGAUACUGGCGAACUUGAGUAUGAUAGAGGGGGGUGGAAUUCCAGGUGUAGCGGUGAAAUGCGUAGAUAUCAGGAGGAACACCAAUGGCGAAGGCAGGUCUCUGGGCCAUUACUGACACUGAGGAGCGAAAGCGUGGGGAGCGAACAGGAUUAGAAACCCUGGUAGU